GGGUUGUGAGGUUAAGCGACUAAGCGUACACGGUGGAUGCCCUGGCAGUCAGAGGCGAUGAAGGACGUGCUAAUCUGCGAUAAGCGUCGGUGAGGUGAUAUGAACCGUUAUAACCGGCGAUUUCCGAAUGGGGAAACCCAGUGUGUUUCGACACACUAUCAUUAACUGAAUCCAUAGGUUAAUGAGGCGAACCGGGGGAACUGAAACAUCUAAGUACCCCGAGGAAAAGAAAUCAACCGAGAUUCCCCCAGUAGCGGCGAGCGAACGGGGAGGAGCCCAGAGCCUGAAUCAGUGUGUGUGUUAGUGGAAGCGUCUGGAAAGGCGUGCGAUACAGGGUGACAGCCCCGUACACAAAAAUGCACAUAUUGUGAGCUCGAUGAGUAGGGCGGGACACGUGGUAUCCUGUCUGAAUAUGGGGGGACCAUCCUCCAAGGCUAAAUACUCCUGACUGACCGAUAGUGAACCAGUACCGUGAGGGAAAGGCGAAAAGAACCCCGGCGAGGGGAGUGAAAAAGAACCUGAAACCGUGUACGUACAAGCAGUGGGAGCCUCUUAAUGGGGUGACUGCGUACCUUUUGUAUAAUGGGUCAGCGACUUAUAUUCUGUAGCAAGGUUAACCGAAUAGGGGAGCCGAAGGGAAACCGAGUCUUAACUGGGCGUUAAGUUGCAGGGUAUAGACCCGAAACCCGGUGAUCUAGCCAUGGGCAGGUUGAAGGUUGGGUAACACUAACUGGAGGACCGAACCGACUAAUGUUGAAAAAUUAGCGGAUGACUUGUGGCUGGGGGUGAAAGGCCAAUCAAACCGGGAGAUAGCUGGUUCUCCCCGAAAGCUAUUUAGGUAGCGCCUCGUGAAUUCAUCUCCGGGGGUAGAGCACUGUUUCGGCAAGGGGGUCAUCCCGACUUACCAACCCGAUGCAAACUGCGAAUACCGGAGAAUGUUAUCACGGGAGACACACGGCGGGUGCUAACGUCCGUCGUGAAGAGGGAAACAACCCAGACCGCCAGCUAAGGUCCCAAAGUCAUGGUUAAGUGGGAAACGAUGUGGGAAGGCCCAGACAGCCAGGAUGUUGGCUUAGAAGCAGCCAUCAUUUAAAGAAAGCGUAAUAGCUCACUGGUCGAGUCGGCCUGCGCGGAAGAUGUAACGGGGCUAAACCAUGCACCGAAGCUGCGGCAGCGACACUAUGUGUUGUUGGGUAGGGGAGCGUUCUGUAAGCCUGUGAAGGUGGCCUGUGAGGGUUGCUGGAGGUAUCAGAAGUGCGAAUGCUGACAUAAGUAACGAUAAAGCGGGUGAAAAGCCCGCUCGCCGGAAGACCAAGGGUUCCUGUCCAACGUUAAUCGGGGCAGGGUGAGUCGACCCCUAAGGCGAGGCCGAAAGGCGUAGUCGAUGGGAAACAGGUUAAUAUUCCUGUACUUGGUGUUACUGCGAAGGGGGGACGGAGAAGGCUAUGUUGGCCGGGCGACGGUUGUCCCGGUUUAAGCGUGUAGGCUGGUUUUCCAGGCAAAUCCGGAAAACCAAGUAAGCAUCAGGUAACAUCAAAUCGUACCCCAAACCGACACAGGUGGUCAGGUAGAGAAUACCAAGGCGCUUGAGAGAACUCGGGUGAAGGAACUAGGCAAAAUGGUGCCGUAACUUCGGGAGAAGGCAUGCUGAUAUGUAGGUGAAGCGACUUGCUCGUGGAGCUGAAAUCAGUCGAAGAUACCAGCUGGCUGCAACUGUUUAUUAAAAACACAGCACUGUGCAAACACGAAAGUGGACGUAUACGGUGUGACGCCUGCCCGGUGCCGGAAGGUUAAUUGAUGGGGUUAGCGGUAACGCGAAGCUCUUGAUCGAAGCCCCGGUAAACGGCGGCCGUAACUAUAACGGUCCUAAGGUAGCGAAAUUCCUUGUCGGGUAAGUUCCGACCUGCACGAAUGGCGUAAUGAUGGCCAGGCUGUCUCCACCCGAGACUCAGUGAAAUUGAACUCGCUGUGAAGAUGCAGUGUACCCGCGGCAAGACGGAAAGACCCCGUGAACCUUUACUAUAGCUUGACACUGAACAUUGAGCCUUGAUGUGUAGGAUAGGUGGGAGGCUUUGAAGUGUGGACGCCAGUCUGCAUGGAGCCGACCUUGAAAUACCACCCUUUAAUGUUUGAUGUUCUAACGUUGGCCCGUAAUCCGGGUUGCGGACAGUGUCUGGUGGGUAGUUUGACUGGGGCGGUCUCCUCCUAAAGAGUAACGGAGGAGCACGAAGGUUGGCUAAUCCUGGUCGGACAUCAGGAGGUUAGUGCAAUGGCAUAAGCCAGCUUGACUGCGAGCGUGACGGCGCGAGCAGGUGCGAAAGCAGGUCAUAGUGAUCCGGUGGUUCUGAAUGGAAGGGCCAUCGCUCAACGGAUAAAAGGUACUCCGGGGAUAACAGGCUGAUACCGCCCAAGAGUUCAUAUCGACGGCGGUGUUUGGCACCUCGAUGUCGGCUCAUCACAUCCUGGGGCUGAAGUAGGUCCCAAGGGUAUGGCUGUUCGCCAUUUAAAGUGGUACGCGAGCUGGGUUUAGAACGUCGUGAGACAGUUCGGUCCCUAUCUGCCGUGGGCGCUGGAGAACUGAGGGGGGCUGCUCCUAGUACGAGAGGACCGGAGUGGACGCAUCACUGGUGUUCGGGUUGUCAUGCCAAUGGCACUGCCCGGUAGCUAAAUGCGGAAGAGAUAAGUGCUGAAAGCAUCUAAGCACGAAACUUGCCCCGAGAUGAGUUCUCCCCAGUCUCCUGAAGGAACGUUGAAGACGACGACGUUGAUAGGCCGGGUGUGUAAGCGCAGCGAUGCGUUGAGCUAACCGGUACUAAUGAACCGUGAGGCUUAACCUUUCCACGCCGAAG
rnacentral:rRNA from 1 species